rnacentral:sRNA from 1 species
UUUCUUGUGUUUUUUUUUUGAGAUGGGGUCUCGCUCUGUCGCCCAGGCUCUGGAGUGCAGUGGUGUGAUCACAGCUCACUGCAACCUUGACCCCCUGGAGCUCAGCUAGGGUUUCACCAUGUCGCCCAGGCUAUCUUCAAACUGUUGGACUCAAGGGAUCUGCCCACCUCGGCUGCCCAAAGUGUUGGGAUUACAGUUGUGAGGACUGACAGCUUCUGCAGAAAGCCUUCAUGCCUGCAGGAGCUACAGAACAGGGCAGGGAAGAGAGAAGGAGGAUGGGAGCAAGGGUAUAUUUUUUUCUUCCCUGCUUUGUUGAGUACAGUGACCCCCCCCACUCAAGUAAGUCUUGUCUUGCUUUGGCAGUGAACUCUUACGGGCACCCACAAGCUCCCCACCUUUACCCUGGCCCAUCACCGAUGUACCCAAUCCCCACCCAGGACUCAGCAGGAUACAAUCGCCCAGCACACCAUAUGGUCCCUCGGCCACCAGUGCCACCUCCUGGUGCCAGUGAGGAAAUCCCUGACGACUUCGACUGGGACUUGAUCACUUAGUGCAUCACACAGUGUGGACAUCAGCCCAGGGCCGCGUGGUGAAGUCUGGCAGUGGGGAAAGAGCAACCCCAGCCCAUCCCUUCCCCCCGUCUGUAUAUAGACAUAUAUCCUCUUUUUGUUCUUUCUCUGUCGGAGAAGCCACUGCAAGAUGCUGCCGAAGAUA